GACGAACGCUGGCGGCGUGCUUAACACAUGCAAGUCGAACGAUGAAGUUCCUUCGGGAAUGGAUUAGUGGCGAACGGGUGAGAAACACGUGAGAAACCUGCCCCUGACUCUGGGAUAAGCGCUGGAAACGGCGUCUAAUACUGGAUAUGUGAUGUGACCGCAUGGUCUGCAUCUGGAAAGAAUUUCGGUUGGGGAUGGGCUCGCGGCCUAUCAGCUUGUUGGUGAGGUAAUGGCUCACUCAGGCGUCGACGGGUAGCCGGCCUGAGAGGGUGACCGGCCACACUGGGACUGAGACACGGCCCAGACUCCUACGGGAGGCAGCAGUGGGGAAUAUUGCACAAUGGGCGGAAGCCUGAUGCAGCAACGCCGCGUGAGGGAUGACGGCCUUCGGGUUGUAAACCUCUUUUAGCAGGGAAGAAGCGAAAGUGACGGUACCUGCAGAAAAAGCACCGGCUAACUACGUGCCAGCCGCCGCCGUAA
rnacentral:rRNA from 1 species